UCUGAUCUAGCAACACCGCGUGUGCGAAGAAGGCCUUCGGGUCGUAAAGCACUUUUUGGAAGGAAUAGGAAGGAAUGUACUUCCAGAAUAAGUCUCUGCUAACUACGUGCCAGCAGCCGCGGUAACACGUAGGCGGCAAACGUUAUCCGGAUUUACUGUGCGUAAAGCGAGUGUAGGUGGUACUGUAAGUAGGGCGUGAAAGCUCCUGGCUCAACUGGGAGAGG
rnacentral:rRNA from 1 species